AACGAACGCUGGCGGCAGGCUUAACACAUGCAAGUCGAGCGCCCCGCAAGGGGAGCGGCAGACGGGUGAGUAACACGUGGGAAUCUACCCAUCCCUACGGAACAACUCCGGGAAACUGGAGCUAAUACCGUAUACGCCCUUUGGGGGAAAGAUUUAUCGGGGAUGGAUGAGCCCGCGUUGGAUUAGCUAGUUGGUGGGGUAAAGGCCUACCAAGGCGACGAUCCAUAGCUGGUCUGAGAGGAUGAUCAGCCACAUUGGGACUGAGACACGGCCCAAACUCCUACGGGAGGCAGCAGUGGGGAAUAUUGGACAAUGGGCGCAAGCCUGAUCCAGCCAUGCCGCGUGAAUGAUGAAGGCCUUAGGGUUGUAAAGUUCUUUCACCGAUGAAGAUAAUGACGGUAGUCGGAGAAGAAGCCCCGGCUAACUUCGUGCCAGCCGCCGCCGUAACAC
rnacentral:rRNA from 1 species